GCAGCAGCCGCGGGAAUACGAAGGGGGCUAGCGUUGUUCGGAUUUACUGGGCGUAAAGGGCGCGUAGGCGGACUGAUAAGUCAGGGGUGAAAUCCCAAGGCUCAACCUUGGAACUGCCUUUGAUACUGUUUGUCUUGAGUUCGAGAGAGGUAAGUGGAACUGCGAGUGUAGAGGUGAAAUUCGUAGAUAUUCGCAAGAACACCAGUGGCGAAGGCGGCUUACUGGCUCGAAACUGACGCUGAGGCGCGAAAGCGUGGGGAGCAAACAGGAUUAGAUACCCCCGUAGUCCCUGUCUCUUAUAC
rnacentral:rRNA from 1 species